rnacentral:rRNA from 1 species
GACAGAGGGUGCAAACGUUGUUCGGAAUUACUGGGCGUAAAGCGUGUGUAGGCGGUCCACUAAGUCGGGUGUGAAAGCCCUGGGCUCAACCCAGGAAGUGCACUCGAAACUGGCGGGCUAGAGUAUCGGAGAGGUUGGUGGAAUUCUCGGUGUAGAGGUGAAAUUCGUAGAUAUCGAGAGGAACACCUGUGGCGAAAGCGGCGCACUGGACCACAACUGACGCUGAGGCGCGAAAGCUAGGGGAGCAAACAGG